rnacentral:rRNA from 1 species
GAUGAACGCUGGCGGCGUGCCUAAUACAUGCAAGUCGAGCGAAAAGACGAGGAGCUUGCUCCUCUGACGUUAGCGGCGCACGGGUGAGACACACGUGGAAAAUCUACUUAUCAGACUGGGAAAACCACGGGAAACGGGAUCUAAUACCGGAUAAUCUAUUGAUGCGCAUGGGUCAAUGGUGAAUGACGGUUUUGCUGUCACUUAUAGAUGGUUCUGCGCUGGAUUGGCUGGUUGGUAAGUUAACGGCUUUCCAAGGCGACGAUGCGUAGCCGACCGGACAGGGGGGUCGCCGGCACUAGAGCGUGACCACGGUCCAGGCUCCUACGAGAGGCAGCAGUAGGGAAUCUGCCGCAAUGGGCGAAAGCCUGACGGAGCGACGCGACGCGUGUGGUGGAGGUCUUCGGUGCGGAAUACCCUGUUACUGGGUAAGAACAGAUGUGUAAGGUGCCGUGCAGGUCUUGACGGUACCGAGUAAAGAAGCCACGGCUAACUACGUG